UACGGAGGGUGCAAGCGUUGCUCGGAAUUACUGGGCGUAAAGCGUGCGUAGACGGUUAUUUAAGUCGGAUGUGAAAGCCCCGGGCUCAACCUGGGAAUUGCAUUCGAGAGCUGAAUAGCUAGGGUGCGGUAGAGGGAAGCGGAAUUUCCGGUGUAGCGGUGAAAUGCGUAGAUAUCGGAAGGAACAUCAGUGGCGAAAGCGGCUUCCUGGACCAGCACCGACGUUCAGGCACGAAAGCGUGGGGAGCAAACAGGAAUUAGAAACCCCUGGU
rnacentral:rRNA from 1 species